UGAGUUUCACGCUGAGUGCGAUCAUCAGGUGACGGUGUUACAAGUGGUCACUUGUAACACCGUCACCUGAUGAUCGCACUCAGCGUGAAACUCA